GAAAUUUUGCUUCUGCUUAGAUGUAGGAGUGUAGAGAGGUGCUUGAGAAUUAGCCAUCCAUGUUGUCAUUAAAUUCCUCUUCUCCUGGGGAAGCUGCAGAAGAGGUGAGGGGGUGGCAUGUGUACGUGUCGGGCUCUACAUAAUAACCCGUGAUCAGGAUCCCAGUGACGUGCUGCACAGACAAUUGAAGAAGCUCGUAGAUCUGUCUUUCCAAGAUUUGGACAAAGUAGAUAAAUAAGGGGACACCCGGACUUCGUGCUUGAGAAUUUACUGCAUCAGCGGUACCAACGCUCAGGGAAGACCAGUGACUGCAAGUUCAAGAAUGCUGAAUUUUCCAAGAUGUUAAUUUGUGGCGUACAGAUGAUGUGAUUUACUGACGGUGACACACUGAAUGUGCAGUAGAGCCAGAAAAUGGUUCCAAGACUCUGAUGAGGACAUGAGCAAGCUGUCUCAACAGAGAAAUAUUUGCACCAAAAAUAGAGCUCAGCCAAACAUUAUUUUGGUGUGGGUGGGAAAGUGUGUUUCAUUGCAUUUGUCAUUUAUGGAGAAAACUGUAACAAAAAGCAACCCAAAUCAUUAUUUUAAUGUCAAAUUUUAAUUUUGAAUUUUGAGAAUGCUUGUGUUAAUAAUUUCCCAUUUAUCCAAGUGAUUUUCACCUGUGAUUGUGUUGGAAUUAAUUUUACUUUGGAAA